rnacentral:rRNA from 1 species
CAUGCAAGUCGAACGGAAAUCUUUUAGAUUUUAGUGGCGAACGGGUGAGUAACACGUAAGCAACCUGCCUUUAAGACGAGAAUAACAAUUGGAAACAGUUGCUAAGGCUGGAUAGGAAAUAAAAAGGAAUCUUUUUAUUUUUAAAAGACCUUUUUCGGAAGGUAUGCUUAAAGAGGGGCUUGCGUCACAUUAGUUAGUUGGUAGGGUAAAGGCCUACCAAGACGAUGAUGUGUAGCUGGACUGAGAGGUUGAACAGCCACAUUGGGACUGAGACACGGCCCAAACUCCUACGGGAGGCAGCAGUAGGGAAUUUUCGGCAAUGGAGGAAACUCUGACCGAGCAACGCCGCGUGAACGACGAAGUACUUCGGUAUGUAAAGUUCUUUUAUUGAAGAAGAAACAAUAGUGGAAAAACUAUCUUGACGUUAUUCAAUGAAUAAGCCCCGGCUAACUAUGUGCCAGCAGCCGCGGUAAUACAUAGGGGGCGAGCGUUAUCCGGAAUUAUUGGGCGUAAAGGGUGCGUAGGCGGUUUAAUAAGUCUCUAGUUUAAUUUCAACGCUUAACGUUGUCCUGCUAGAGAAACUGUUUAACUAGAGUGAGAUAGAGGUAAGCGGAAUUCCAUGUGUAGCGGUAAAAUGUGUAAAUAUAUGGAGGAACACCAGAGGCGUAGGCGGCUUACUGGGUCUUUACUGACGCUGAUGCACGAAAGCGUGGGGAGCAAACAGGAUUAGAUACCCUGGUAGUCCACGCCGUAAACUAUGAGUACUAAGUGUCGGGGUUAAACUCGGUACUGAAGUUAACACAUUAAGUACUCCGCCUGAGUAGUACGUACGCAAGUAUGAAACUUAAAGGAAUUGACGGGAUCCCGCACAAGCGGUGGAUCAUGUUGUUUAAUUCGAAGAUACACGAAAAACCUUACCAGGUCUUGACAUACUCUGCAAAGCUAUAGAAAUAUAGUGGAGGUUAUCAGGGAUACAGGUGGUGCAUGGUUGUCGUCAGCUCGUGUCGUGAGAUGUUAGGUUAAGUUCUAAAACGAGCGCAACCCCUGUCGUUAAUUGCCAGCACGUUAUGGUGGGGACUUUAGCGAGACUGCCAAUGAAAAAUUGGAGGAAGGUGGGGAUUACGUCAAAUCAUCAUGCCCCUUAUGAUCUGGGCUACAAACGUGAUACAAUGGCUAUUACAAAGAGUAGCUGAAACGCGAGUUUUCGGCAAAUCUCAAAAAAAUAGUCUCAGUUCGGAUUGAAGUCUGCAACUCGACUUCAUGAAGUUGGAAUCGCUAGUAAUCGCGAAUCAGCAUGUCGCGGUGAAUACGUUCUCGGGGUUUGUACACACCGCCCGUCAAACCACGAAAGUGGACAAUACCCGAAAGCGACAGCCUAAC